AUGGAACCCUAUGUUGGCAUGAGGUUUGACAGCCUUCAAAUUGCUAAGGAUAACUACAACAGCUACGCACUACGGAUGGGUUUCUCUAUCAAGAUGAACACAUCUAGACGGACACCCCGCACCAAUGAAUUGAUAAAACAACAGUUUUGCUGCAACAAGUUCAAGAAGCCCAAAGCUGAUGAUGGAGGAGCUAAGGCUCCUCCUGUCCUGGACCCUAUUCCAGAUCCAAAAUCUGUUUACAGUGAUGAGGAGAUGGAAGAAGAACCUCCAAUAUUUGCUGAAGAGGAGGCUGGUACUAGUAAGAAGAAGAAGAAGCGCAAACGCGAGACAAUAAAGCAGACUCAGUGCAAAGCGAAAAUGUUGGUGAAGCUGAUAGAUGGGCGAUGGGAGGUGACACACUUUGUUCGUGACCACAAUCAUCCGCUCGUGAACAAACCUUCAUUGUCCAAAUACUUGAGAUCCCACCAAGGCAUCUCACCUGAUGAAAAGGAGUUUCUGCGCAUCUUGUAUAACUGCAACUUGACUACAGGCGAUUACAAUCCAAGUACCAUGACGGGCCGUGCUACUACAGGUGAUCGUGAUGGUCCUACUGCCCCGUUGGAGGCUGCAUCCCCUGCACAAUCUUCUGAUGAUUUUGUGCCUAGGGAUCCUCCAAGGUCUAGUACAAAGGGUAGGGCAAAGAGUCGACGGUACAAAUCGGCGCUGGAGCUACACCCAAAGAAGAAAAACAAAUGCAGCCAGUGCCAAUCUACAGAGCACACUGCUGGUGUGUGUCCACUCAGGCUACUGUGA
rnacentral:rRNA from 1 species